GGCGGACGGGUGAGUAAUGCCUAGGAAUCUGCCUGGUAGUGGGGGACAACGUUUCGAAAGGAACGCUAAUACCGCAUACGUCCUACGGGAGAAAGCAGGGGACCUUCGGGCCUUGCGCUAUCAGAUGAGCCUAGGUCGGAUUAGCUAGUUGGUGAGGUAAUGGCUCACCAAGGCGACGAUCCGUAACUGGUCUGAGAGGAUGAUCAGUCACACUGGAACUGAGACACGGUCCAGACUCCUACGGGAGGCAGCAGUGGGGAAUAUUGGACAAUGGGCGAAAGCCUGAUCCAGCCAUGCCGCGUGUGUGAAGAAGGUCUUCGGAUUGUAAAGCACUUUAAGUUGGGAGGAAGGGUUGUAGAUUAAUACUCUGCAAUUUUGACGUUACCGACAGAAUAAGCACCGGCUAACUCUGUGCCAGCAGCCGCGGUAAUACAGAGGGUGCAAGCGUUAAUCGGAAUUACUGGGCGUAAAGCGCGCGUAGGUGGUUUGUUAAGUUGGAUGUGAAAUCCCCGGGCUCAACCUGGGAACUGCAUCCAAAACUGGCAAGCUAGAGUAUGGUAGAGGGUGGUGGAAUUUCCUGUGUAGCGGUGAAAUGCGUAGAUAUAGGAAGGAACACCAGUGGCGAAGGCGACCACCUGGACUGAUACUGACACUGAGGUGCGAAAGCGUGGGGAGCAAACAGGAUUAG
rnacentral:rRNA from 1 species